GAUAAUGCAACACUAUAGGACAAUAAACUACAGUACAAAGUUUUUCAAAUAAAGGGAGUACCUAUAUCAAGCAUGAAUCUUGAUUGUCAUCUUUGGCAAGAUCCAAAUUGUUUGAUAGCUAAAAAUUCUUUUCUUUUUGUAGUGUUAUAGUAAUUAACAUAUUUUCUUUAAUGGUUGGUCCAAUGCUGCUAAGAAGAAUACAUUCAAUAAGAGCACAAAGAGCUUCACUUUGCAUCUGUUGUUAAUGUUAUUUGACCCCACGUCAAAACCUGGAGGAAAUAUGAAUAAGAAAUAUAACCAAUCAUUGUGAGAGUUUAUAUCCUUCCACUCCAACGCUAAAUCUGAAAGAUUUUAACAAUAGGUCAUGAUUUUUUUCAAUAGUCUACCGAAUGUAGUACCAUAUCUUCUUUGAACCCACAUUAAAAAAGCUCCACAAUUUGUUAUAAAACAUCAUUAAAAAUGAUGAAAACAAAGCAAAAUGUUAACUAUCUAGUUACUUAAAAGCAAAAUAAAGAUCAGGCAAGAGAGAAGAUAAGUAACCACAUUUAGAAUCUUAAAUGAAUAGAACCCUAAUGUAUUACCUACAGUAGUUAGAACCACAAAGUAAACCGUUGCAUUAUCAUUGUGUAGAUUAUGAAGCUAUUAAAUUCAGUCUAGAUUAAUAUUAAAUUAAAAAAAUUAAAAGAUGUAGACUCCAUACACUGUCGUUGUAAUCGUAUAAUAUAGUUAUCAACGAUGUUAGCGAAUAUCAAAGAGUGUUCAAACGAAAAGUCUGUUCUAGUAAAGUUCCAUAGUGUUUUGCUUAAUCUGUCUGUCAAUAGGAUAACAAAUGAUAGUAGUACAAAGUGUACCAUUUCUUGGAACAAUCUCAGGAAGAGCAUUCAAGAUGCACUAAGGCAACGAUAUAGAGCUCAAACGCUGGCUUAGUAAGAGAUUGAAAGAAUGUAGGUAACAUCUCUAUUAUAUACCAAUAUUUUUAAUCUCAAUACUCCAUUAACGUUAAACAAAUCAAUUUUUAAAUUUAGUAGAUUUAAAAGAAUAGCAUUCGUACAACAAAAUUUCAAACAAAAGAAUUGAAAUUUUUGUAGCAUUUGUUAUGCCAAACACUGUCUGCCACAAUAUGCACUGCAUCCUUAUACAAAUACAAUUAAUAUUCAACAAAUUUUAAACUCCCGUUGUUGUGCUUCGUAGCAUACCUGCCGUAUCUAAAAAAAAAUUGAAUUCAUCCUUUCUUGUGGAAACCUCUGCUUUUUAAAAAAGAAUUGAAAUCCAACUCUUCUGGUGGAAUUGCAACAUAGAUUGCUGAUUCAUCCCUUCUGAAAAUGAGCAUCUGCUGCCGAGUGAGGAGAAUAAGGACUUUCAAGCAUAAUUCCUGCAGUCUAAUAAAAAAUUUUCACCAAAUCAGUCAAUUAAAAACCAAUCAGUAUCAUCCAAAGUACAACCCCAAAUCUGUAAACCAACAAAAAAAAAACUAAGAAAAUGGACUAUCAAUUGAACAUGGAAAAAACAACAAAAAUAUAUAUAAAAAUAACAAUCUUUUUAGUUGCCUUCUCCAUUGUCAUUUUCGUGAACUUUUACUCUGAAAAUUCAACUGAAAGAUUUGAUUGUUUGAUCAAAUCAGGAAAUUAAAUACCCAAAAUAUCAUCCCCAAAUUAAUAAAUGGUAACCCCCCUCCACGCUACACCCCACCCCACAUUGUCAUUUUUGUGAUUUUUUACACUGAAAAUUCAACCGCAAGAUUUAAUUUUUUCAUCAAAUUGGGCAAUUAAAUACCCAAAAUACCAUCCCCAAAUCUGAAGAUUGAAAAUUUAAUUCUUCUUUGCUAAAACGUAUAUGAAAUUGAACAAUAAAAUUGAUUUUUUAUGAAAAACCUAUUGAGUUUUGGAGAACGAAAUAGAAAUUCUGGAAAGAAGAUUCACUUUUUGGGAAAUCAAUGAGUUUUGUUUUGUCUAUGAAUGGAAGAGAGGUUUUCAUCCAUUGUAAAUCUGAAAGUUUUAGAUUUACGAUUUUCUUUUCAGAACAGAACACUUAAUUUCAAGAUAAUUAUUUUAUUUUUUAAUUUUGUAAUUUUAUUUUUUGUGGUGCUGAGACGUGGC
rnacentral:lncRNA from 1 species